AGCUCCAAUAGCGUAUAUUAAAGUUGUUGCGGUUAAAAAGCUCGUAGUUGGAUUUCUGCUGGGGACAACUGGUCUGCCUACUGGGUAAGUAUUUGUGUGUCUCAAGCAUGUUCUUGGAUGGCACUUCUGCACUUGACUGUGUGGUGUGAUCUCCAAGGUUGUUACUUUGAGGAAAUCAGAGUGCUUCCAGCAGGCAAAUGUUUUGAAUACAUUAGCAUGGAAUAAUAAGAUGAGACUUCGGUUUUAUUUUGUUGGUUUUUAAAAGUGAAGUAAUGAUUGACAGGGAUAGUUAGGGGCAUUUGUAUUCAACUGUCAGAGGUGAAAUUCUUGGAUUUGUUAAAGACAAACAACUGCGAAAGCAUUUGCCAAGGAUGUUUUUUUUGAUCAAGAACGAAAGUAC
rnacentral:rRNA from 1 species